AGAACGAACGCUGGCGGCAUGCCUAACACAUGCAAGUCGAACGAGACCUUCGGGUCUAGUGGCGCACGGGUGCGUAACGCGUGGGAAUCUGCCCUUGGGUUCGGGAUAACAGUUGGAAACGACUGCUAAUACCGGAUGAUGUUUUCGGACCAAAGAUUUAUCGCCCAGGGAUGAGCCCGCGUAGGAUUAGCUUGUUGGUGAGGUAAGAGCUCACCAAGGCGACGAUCCUUAGCUGGUCUGAGAGGAUGAUCAGCCACACUGGGACUGAGACACCGGCCCAGCUCCUAGGGAGCAGCAGUGGGGAAUAGUUGGACAAUGGGACGAAAGCCUGAUCCAGCAAUGCCGCGUGAGUGAUGGAAGUCGUUAGGUUAGUAACGUCUUCCGUUUACCGGAUGUAUAAUGACAGUACCGGAAGAA
rnacentral:rRNA from 1 species